rnacentral:rRNA from 1 species
CCUACGGGCGGCUGCAGUGAGGAAUAUUGGUCAAUGGGCGGAAGCCUGAACCAGCCAAGUAGCGUGCAGGAUGACGGCCCUACGGGUUGUAAACUGCUUUUAUACGGGAAUAACGCGCCUUACGUGUAGGGCUUUGCAUGUACCGUAUGAAUAAGGACCGGCUAAUUCCGUGCCAGCAGCCGCGGUAAUACGGAAGGUCCGGGCGUUAUCCGGAUUUAUUGGGUUUAAAGGGGGCGUAGGCCGCAUGGCAAGCGUGCUGGGAAAUGUCCGGGCUCAACCCGGGCCUUGCAGCGCGUACUGGGGUGCUUGAGGCCGCGGAAAGCAGGCGGAAUUUGGCGUGUAGCGGGGAAAUGCGUAGAUAUG